UACGUAGGGGGCAAGCGUUGUCCGGAUUUAUUGGGCGUAAAGAGCGUGUAGGCGGCCUGAUAGGUCGGUUGUGAAAACUGGAGGCUUAACCUUCAGACGUCGGCCGAAACCAUCUGGCUAGAGUCCGGAAGAGGAGAGUGGGAAUUCCUGGUGUAGCGGUGAAAUGACGCAGAUAUCAGGAAGAACACCCGUGGCUAAGGCGGCUCUCCUAGUACGGUACUGACGCUGAGACGCGAAAGCGUGGGGAGCGAACAGG
rnacentral:rRNA from 1 species